rnacentral:rRNA from 1 species
CAAUAGCGUAUAUUAAAGUUGUUGCAGUUAAAAAGCUCGUAGUUGGAUUUGUGGCGUACGGUGUGUUCCGGGCACUUGUUGUCUGAGUAACCUGCUGUUGCCAUCCUUGGGUGGAACCUGUGUGGCAUUAGGUUGUCGUGCAGGGGAUGCCCAUCAUUUACUGUGAAAAAAUUAGAGUGUUCAAAGCAGGCUUAUGCCGUUGAAUAUAUUAGCAUGGAAUAAUGAGAUAGGACUUUUUUGCUAUUUUGUUGGUUUGCGCAAGAAGGUAAUGAUUAAUAGGGACAGUUGGGGGUAUUCGUAUUCCAUUGUCAGAGGUGAAAUUCUUGGAUUUUUGGAAGACGAACUACUGCGAAAGCAUUUACCGAGGAUGUUUUCAUUAA